rnacentral:lncRNA from 1 species
AUUGUUUUUGCUCCUCUUCUUGCCGACACCAAUGUGUGUGUGUAUAUAGUUAAUUUCCAUAGCAAAAAGCCUCCUUUUUCCAUCUUUUUCUCCCCCAAAAGUUGCUGCCAAUGUGUCUAUAUAUAUGUCAAUUAAAUCCCCAGGCAGCCUGUGCGUGUCUUGUCUUUUAAUUUCCAGCAAUGCCAAAAAUUCUGCCUCUUUCCUUUCCCACCAGCUGCUGAAUUUUUUCUAAUGUGUCUCCAGCCACUUCUGCCGUCUAAUGUGUG